CCUACCCCCCGCCUCCCCAGUCUCCCGUCCCCACACCCAUCUUCUGGAAGCGUUCCACAGAAUCUCAGAAUCGUGGAAUAAAUGAGGUCAGGAAAGACCUCUGAGAUCAAGUCCAACUGAUGACUGAACAACACCAUGUCAACCACAGUGUUAUAAAGUGCUCCUGCAGAGGGUUCACUUAAUGGAGCUGUGUGGUGGUUACUGCCCCUUGCAACAAGCCAGGUCGCCCCAGUCCAGUUCCUUCAGAAACAUUGAAACAUUGUGCAGCUUUUACACCAACAUCAUCGUGCCAGACCACCAUGGGUUCCUAAAGACCCUCAAGAGGCCCCUCUGAGGCUUACUGGGCAAACCCAGGCAACUUCAUAUCCAACACUUCUCUGAUUAAUAUGUACACCACAAUAUAAGGAAGAUAUUAAAGUAAUAGAGGGCAUCCAAAUAGGGUGACAAAGACGGUGAAGGGCCUUGAGGGGAAGCGUGUGAGGAGAGGCUGAGGGCGCUUGGUCUGCUCAGCCCGGAGGGGACAGAGAGGAGACCUCAGUGCAGAUACAGCUGCCUCGUGAGGGGAAGAGGAGGGACAGACACUGAUCUCUGCUCUCUGGUGACAGUGACAGGACCCAAGGAAUGGCCUGAAGCUGUGUCAGGGGAGAGGAGUGCUGGAGACUUGUACUAGGGCAGUUUGGAUUACCUGGCAUGGCAGUCACUGAGUGUGAGCUUUCCCUUGCUCCUGGGGCUGAUGUGGAAGAGGGAGCCAAAUGCCACCAGCAGUGACUGUGGUAGCUGAGUGGGGAGCACCCUGUGUCCAGUGCCUGUCACAUGGCAAAACCCCUUGGUCUUCCUCAGGUUUGAGAACUAUUCAGCCAUGCAAUAUCCUGGACCAUGAGUGUCAGCUCUUAAUUGCUGGCUUCUGGAAAAUCAAGGUGUUGGAGUCACCAAUUAGCUUUGUUACUCUGGAAUGCAGUGCAAAAGAAUGCUGAACAACCACAAAGGAAGACAAACUCCCUGCCACCAAGGGUAUGUAAUUUAAAGAUACAGAAU